UACGUAGGGCGCAAGCGUUAUCCGGAAUUAUUGGGCGUAAAGAGCUCGUAGGCGGUUUGUCGCGUCUGCUGUGAAAGACCGGGGCUCAACUCCGGUUCUGCAGUGGGUACGGGCAGACUAGAGUGCAGUAGGGGAGACUGGAAUUCCUGGUGUAGCGGUGAAAUGCGCAGAUAUCAGGAGGAACACCGAUGGCGAAGGCGGCAUCCUGGACCAACACUGACGCUGAGGAGCGAAAGCCAGGGGAGCAAACGGG
rnacentral:rRNA from 1 species